rnacentral:rRNA from 1 species
AGCGUACACGGUGGAUGCCUUGGCAGUCAGAGGCGAUGAAGGACGUGGUAAUCUGCGAUAAGCUUUGGGGAGCCGAUAAACAGGCCUUGAUCCAGAGAUUUCCGAAUGGGGAAACCCAACCGCAUAAGCGGUUAUUCUUUAGCUGAAUACAUAGGCUUUAGAAGGCGAACCCGGGGAACUGAAACAUCUAAGUACCCGGAGGAAAAGAAAUCAAUUGAGAUUCCCCUAGUAGCGGCGAGCGAACGGGGAUUAGCCCUUAAGCAAUUURKGWGUUAGYGGAASRCUCUGGAAAGUGYSGCCAUAGWGGGUGAWAGCCCCGUACRCGAAARYKMMYYUAUUGUGAAAUCGAGUAGGUCGGGACACGAGAAAUCCUGACUGAASUGUCUUCGGACGAGGGGGGACCAUCCUCCAAGGCUAAAUACUCCUGACUGACCGAUAGUGAACYAGUACCGUGAGGGAAAGGCGAAAAGAACCCCGUUGAGGGGAGUGAAAUAGAACCUGAAUCCGUGUACGUACAAGCAGUGGGAGCAAGCACUCUUUAUUUAUAAAGCACGUCUUGUGACUGCGUACCUUUUGUAUAAUGGGUCAGCGACUUAAUUUCAGUGGCAAGGUUAACCGUAUAGGGGAGCCGUAGGGAAACCGAGUCUUAAUAGGGCGUGAAGUCUUUAACGAGACUAGGAGUCGCUGGGAUUAGACCCGAAACCGGGCGAUCUAUCCAUGGGCAGGUUGAAGAUUGAGUAACAUCAAUUGGAGGACCGAACCGACUAUCGUUGAAAAGCUAGCGGAUGACUUGUGGAUAGGAGUGAAAGGCUAAUCAAGCCCGGAGAUAGCUGGUUCUCCUCGAAAGCUAUUUAGGUAGYGCCUCGUGUAUCACCAUUGGGGGUAGAGCACUGUUUGGGCUAGGGGGUCAUCCCGACUUACCAACCCCAUGCAAACUCCGAAUACYAAUGAGUGCAAUCACGGGAGACACACGGCGGGUGCUAACGUCCGUCGUGGAAAGGGAAACAACCCAGACCGUCAGCUAAGGUCCCAAAGUUCUAGUUAAGUGGGAAACGAUGUGAGAAGGCCCAGACAGCCAGGAGGUUGGCUUAGAAGCAGCCACCCUUUAAAGAAAGCGUAAUAGCUCACUGGUCGAGUCGGCUCGCGCGGAAGAUUUAACGGGGCUCAAACUAGACACCGAAGCUACGGGUUUCAGUGGUCAGUUUUCAGUUGUUAGUUAGCAGUUGUAAGUUUAAAAACUGCAAACACAGUAAAAUGUUGGUUGGUUUGCACAAGAGUUUCCAAUAACUCUGAGCAAAACUGACRACCAACAACUGAAAACUGACCAYUGAAGCGGUAGAGGAGCGUUCUGUAAGCCGUUGAAGGUGUAUCGGGAGGUAUGCUGGAGGUAUCAGAAGUGCGAAUGCUGACAUGAGUAACGACAAGGGGAGUGAGAAGCUCCCCCGCCGGAAGACCAAGGGUUCCUGCGCAACGUUAAUCGGCGCAGGGUGAGUCGGCCCCUAAGGUGAGGUCGAAAGACGUAAUCGAUGGGAAACAGGUCAAUAUUCCUGUACCCCUUUUGACUGCGACGGAGUGACGGAGAAGGCUAGGUCAGCGCGGCGUUGGUUGUCCGCGUUUAAGAUCGUAGGCUGGGGWYCCAGGCAAAUCCGGRWCCUCAAGGCCGAGAAUUGAUGACGAGGYUCUACGGARCYGAAGUGAUUGAUGCCAUGCUUCCAGGAAAAACUUCUAAGCUUCAGGUCAAAAGGGACCGUACCCCAAACCGACACAGGUGGUCAGGUAGAGAAUACCAAGGCGCUUGAGAGAACUCGGGUGAAGGAACUAGGCAAAAUGGCACCGUAACUUCGGGAGAAGGUGCGCCGGCUUUGGUGAUCGGACUUGCUCCGUAAGCUGAGGCUGGUCGAAGAUACCAGGUGGCUGCGACUGUUUAUUAAAAACACAGCACUGUGCAAACACGAAAGUGGACGUAUACGGUGUGACGCCUGCCCGGUGCUCGAAGGUUAAUUGAUGGGGUUAUCCCUCUUUUAGGAGAGUGGAGAAGCUCUUGAUCGAAGCCCGAGUAAACGGCGGCCGUAACUAUAACGGUCCUAAGGUAGCGAAAUUCCUUGUCGGGUAAGUUCCGACCUGCACGAAUGGCGUAACGAUGGCCACGCUGUCUCCACCCGAGACUCAGUGAAAUUGAAAUCGCUGUUAAGAUGCAGCGUAUCCGCGGCUAGACGGAAAGACCCCGUGAACCUUUACUAUAGCUUCACAGUGGAUUUUGAUGUUGCUUGUGUAGGAUAGGUGGGAGGCUUUGAAGCGWKGACGCYAGUUMDYGUGGAGYCAAYCUUGAAAUACCACCCUGGCAAUAUUGRRGUUCUAACCCAGGUCCUGAAACGGGAUCGGGGACAUUGUGUGGUGGGUAGUUUGACUGGGGCGGUCUCCUCCCAAAGAGUAACGGAGGAGCACGAAGGUUGGCUAAGUACGGUCGGACAUCGUACGGUUAGUGUAAUGGCACAAGCCAGCUUGACUGCGAGAGGUACAUCUCGAGCAGGUACGAAAGUAGGUCAUAGUGAUCCGGUGGUUCUGAAUGGAAGGGCCAUCGCUCAACGGAUAAAAGGUACUCCGGGGAUAACAGGCUGAUACCGCCCAAGAGUUCACAUCGACGGCGGUGUUUGGCACCUCGAUGUCGGCUCAUCACAUCCUGGGGCUGAAGCCGGUCCCAAGGGUAUGGCUGUUCGCCAUUUAAAGUGGUACGCGAGCUGGGUUUAGAACGUCGUGAGACAGUUCGGUCCCUAUCUGCCGUGGACGUUGGAAGUUUGAGAAGAGCUGCUCCUAGUACGAGAGGACCGGAGUGGACGGACCACUGGUGUUCGGGUUGUGUCGCCAGACGCAUUGCCCGGUAGCUAUGUUCGGACGKGAUAACCGCUGAAAGCAUCUAAGCGGGAAGCCCCCUUCAAGAUGAGACUUCCCUGGGCACUAGAUGCCCCUGAAGAGCCGUUAAAGACUAUGACGUUGA